rnacentral:tRNA from 1 species
AGCCUUAUAUUCAAUAAUGAUAUAAAAUUGCAAAUUUUAAGGGGUAAUUUAUUAAUUACUAAGGCUU